GACGAACCGAGCGAACGUUAUUCGGAAUCACUGGGCUUAAAGGGUGCGUAGGCGGGCCCGUCAGUCAGGGGUGAAAUCCCACGGCCCAACCGUGGAAGUGCCUCUGAUACUGCGGGCCUGGAGGGGAGUAGGGGCGUGCGGAACUUCCGGUGGAGCGGUGAAAUGCGUAGAUAUCGGAAGGAACACCGGUGGCGAAAGCGGCGCGCUGGAUCCCUACUGACGCUGAGGCACGAAAGCCAGGGGAGCAACGGG
rnacentral:rRNA from 1 species